AUUGUACGCUGGCGGCAGGCCUAACACAUGCAAGUCGAACGAGUGGCGGACGGGUGAGUAAUGUCUGGGACACUGCCCGAUGGAGGGGGAUAACAACUGGACACGGAAACUAAUACCGCAUACCAUCGGAUCUGCCGAGGUGGGAUUAGCUAGUGGGGGGGGAAAUGGCUCACGUAGGUGACGAUCCCUAGCUGGUCUGAGAGGAUGACCAGCCACACUGUAACGGAUACACGGUCCAGACUCAUACGGGAGGCAGCAGUGGGGAAUAUUGCACAAUGGGCGCAAGCCGGAUGCAGCCAUGCCGCGUGUAUGAAGAAGGCCUUCGGGUGGUAAAGUACUUUCCGUGAGGAGGCGUUACCAGCAGAAGAAGCACCGGCUAACUCCGUGCCAGCAGCCGCGGUAAUAC
rnacentral:rRNA from 1 species